rnacentral:rRNA from 1 species
GACGAACGCUGGCGGCGUGCUUAACACAUGCAAGUCGAACGAGGCCCCUCCUUCGGGAGGGUGUCCUAGUGGCGAACGGGUGAGUAACACGUGGGCAACCUGCCCCCGGCUCUGGGAUAACCCCAAGAAAUUGGGGCUAAUACCGGAUAUGACCGCUGACCGCAUGGUCUGGUGGUGGAAAGUUUUUCGGCUGGGGAUGGGCCCGCGGCCUAUCAGCUUGUUGGUGGGGUAGUGGCCUACCAAGGCGACGACGGGUAGCCGGCCUGAGAGGGUGACCGGCCAAACUGGGACUGAGACACGGCCCAGACUCCUGCGGGAGGCAGCAGUGGGGAAUAUUGCGCAAUGGGCGGAAGCCUGACGCAGCGACGCCGCGUGGGGGAUGACGGCCUUCGGGUUGUAAACCUCUUUCAGCAGGGACGAAGCGAAAGUGACGGUACCUGCAGAAGAAGCACCGGCCAACUACGUGCCAGCAGCCGCCGUAACAC